rnacentral:sRNA from 1 species
UGCUGAGCAGACUACGGAUGAGCAGGGGUCUGAAGUCCGGCAGAAAUGCCAGCCUCAGAGAAUGAGAGCCAGAGCCCUCAGCAUCGAAGGUGAGCACUGCCAUUGUGUAAGACGCCAGAGGGAACUGAAGGGAGCUGGCAGAGUGUGGCUGUUUGCUUAAGAAGAUGGUGGAAGAUGAAAGGCUAUGGAUAGACACACACACCACCAUGACUACAGGUCAGACAAGUCACAGGGGCAUGACGGAUCCCCAGGUAUUGGAUCUCUGGGCUCCAUACAGAUAGCAUGUGAUAUUUAAAGGGUACACCGGCAGUCCCUGUACUUGGAUCUUGAGCCACGGUGAGCCCCAUUGAGGUGCCUGUCAGAUUGCCAGCCUCUCUCACCUGCAGCGAGCGCCAUCUCACUACAUCUGAAAGCCACAGCUCCUCUCUGUCCAGGGCUCUGCACAGCUGGCUCCUUCACCUCGGACCCUCUCUGCAGCCGUGUGGCCAUGGCCGUCCUAGGUGACCCUUGUGAAAGGGUUAUUCAACCAGCUAAGAGGUUGGGACCCACAAGUUGAGAACCGAUGCUCUAAGCCUUCGUGAUAGAACUUUCAAGUUCAAGAAAACCUGUCAGCUUCAUGAUAUCCUAAACUCUGCAAGGCUACCCUCAACUUGAAGAUCAUUAUAGUCAAGUUAGAGAACAGACACGCACUCGGAAGACUGCAUCUCAGUAACAACCACAGGUGGACCAGGGGUGUGGAUGUGAGCGCUCGAGCUUAUGGAAUCUUCAUGCCUUCGUCUGUAAAAUGGAUUGAUAACAUCUUCUUCUCUGGGUGGCAUCUUGCAUUGAUUACAUGAGAUUAUGUAUGGAAAGGACCUGGCUUAUAGCCUGGGAAUGGUGUGUGCUUAAUACACGAUAAUUACACUAAUA